AUUGAACGCUGGCGGAAUGCUUUACACAUGCAAGUCGAACGGCAGCACGGGAGCUUGCUCCUGGUGGCGAGUGGCGAACGGGUGAGUAAUGCGUCGGAACGUACCGAGUAAUGGGGGAUAACGCAGCGAAAGCUGUGCUAAUACCGCAUACGCCCUGAGGGGGAAAAGCAGGGGAUCGCAAGACCUUGCGUUAUUCGAGCGGCCGACGUCUGAUUAGCUAGUUGGUGGGGUAAAGGCCUACCAAGGCGACGAUCAGUAGCGGGUCUGAGAGGAUGAUCCGCCACACUGGAACUGAGACACGGUCCAGACUCCUACGGGAGGCAGCAGUGGGGAAUUUUGGACAAUGGGGGAAACCCUGAUCCAGCCAUUCCGCGUGAGUGAAGAAGGCCUUCGGGUUGUAAAGCUCUUUCAGCUGGAAAGAAACGGUACGCACUAAACAUUGUGUGCUAAUGACGGUACCAGCAGCAGAAGCACCGGCUAACUACGUGC
rnacentral:rRNA from 1 species